rfam:Oryza barthii chromosome 3, whole genome shotgun sequence.
AAAAAGUCAAACUAUGAGUUUCUGUGUCCAAUUUUGACUAUCCGUUUUAUAUGAAAUUUUUUUAUAAUUCGUAUUUUCAUUGUUGUUAGAUGAUAAAAUAUGAUUAAUAUUUUAUGCGCGACUUGUCUUUUUAAUUUUUUUUAUAAAUUUUUUAAAUAAGACGGACGGUCAAAUGUUGAACAUGGAAAUCAGGGUUUGUCUUUUG